rnacentral:rRNA from 1 species
UGGGGAAUAUUGGACAAUGGGCGCAAGCCUGAUCCAGCCAUGCCGCGUGAGUGAUGAAGGUCUUAGGAUUGUAAAGCUCUUUCACCGGUGAAGAUAAUGACGGUAACCGGAGAAGAAGCCCCGGCUAACUUCGUGCCAGCAGCCGCGGUAAUACGAAGGGGGCUAGCGUUGUUCGGAAUUACUGGGCGUAAAGCGCACGUAGGCGGAUAUUUAAGUCAGGGGUGAAAUCCCAGAGCUCAACUCUGGAACUGCCUUUGAUACUGGGUAUCUUGAGUAUGGAAGAGGUGAGUGGAAUUCCGAGUGUAGAGGUGAAAUUCGUAGAUAUUCGGAGGAACACCAGUGGCGAAGGCGGCUCACUGGUCCAUUACUGACGCUGAGGUGCGAAAAGCGUGGGGAGCAAAACAGGAUUAGAUACCCUGGUAGUCCACGCCGUAAACGAUGAAUGUUAGCCGUCGGGCAGUAUACUGUUCGGUGGCGCAGCUAACGCAUUAAACAUUCCGCCUGGGGAGUACGGUCGCAAGAUUAAAACUUAAAUGAAUUGACGGGGUCAUAGCUGUUUCCU